GGCCCCGGUGAUGUGAUCAAAAUAUUUGCUACUCUUGAUGGGGCGUGCCACGCCCCUUCUGAUGAUCUCAAACCACCAAGAUCUCUGAGGUC